UCCCGUGUGGCUCAGUUGGUACAGCAUGGUGUUUGCAACACCAGGGUUGUGGGUUCGAUUCCCACCGGGGAC
rfam:Salmo salar isolate Sally breed double haploid chromosome ssa01, whole genome shotgun sequence.